rnacentral:lncRNA from 1 species
UAUAAAAUUAUUUAUUGAUUUGAGCUGUUAUCGAGUCGAACGCGAGCGAGCUGAUCCCAACUUAUGUUCAACUCGUUUAUUAAAUGACCUGAAGAUUUCAGUUCGUAUUUGGCUCGUUUACUAAACGAGCGAUUCGAUCUCGAGCUCAUUUCGAGCCGAAUACUAGUUAGCUCGUGAACAAGGAGCUGGAUUGCCACCCCUACCUGUAUGUGAGGAAAAGUAUUGAAUAUAAAAUUUAUGAACAGCAUGCUCUGGUAGAAACAGUAAAAAUUUCGAUUCAUUUCGGCACAAAAUUGCAAAUUUGCCCAGAAAUGUUUACAAGUCACUUUUUUGUCCGCGUAAAGUCUAUAGAAGUCGGCAGCCACACUUCCUCCCACCACCGGCAUUGACAAUUUAUUUAUAAUAUUAAUGAGAGAGAGAGAGAUUUACGCUACUGUGUCACGGACGCGUCCAUGUCGCACAGGCGCGUAUUUAGUCGGACGCAAUCCGUGUUCAUGUCGGUAGAUACUAUUGAUGAGAAUUGUAUUAACUUUCUCUCCUAUAAAAAAGAUAAAAAUAUUUUGAUAAAAUUAAUAUUUAUAUAUAAUAAAUAAAUAUUAUUAUAUUAAUAAUAUUAUAUUUUAUUUAUAGUAUUCAUGUUAUAUUAUAUUAAUAAUAUUAUAUUUUAUUAGUGAUGUUCAUAUCGUAUUCGUGUCCUAAAUUUUUGAAAACUGUCGAGUCAUCGUGUCCGAGUCGUGUCGUGUCUCAUGUCUCAUGUCUCGUGUCGNCGAGCCGAAUACUAGUUAGCUCGUGAACAAGGAGCUGGAUUGCCACCCCUACCUGUAUGUGAGGAAAAGUAUUGAAUAUAAAAUUUAUG